AUUUUCCGACUCUCCUCCGACCAGUAUAAAUAAACGGACGCGAUCGCAACGAAAGGAGUUGUCGAUCAGUUAUCAACCAGUUAUCGACGAAUUAUCAGCGAUCUAAUUAACGAGUCAUUAGCGAUCCUAUUUUACGACUUCUACACUGUCUUAGUACGAGCAUCUUUGCGAACGUUAUCUGUAUACUAAUUUAUCAUUUUAAAUAUAUUCGACGGUUUCAACAACGAGCAAUCUCGUCCAUUAAGCCUCACCGGCCAACCAUCCUCUACACACAAACCUCUACAAAUUGGUAUCUCCGACGAUGCAAUCCUGCUUUUCUUUCGCACGUUUCACAAAAAAAGCUGCGACUCGACAAAGGAACUCCUGAGAUAAAAAUUAAUGUCGAGUCACACUCGACAUACCAGUGCAAACCAGUUAAUACAACGGUUAUCUUAUUGAAACAUAUGUGCAAUCUAAAGUAAUCUAUAUAAUUUAGACGAAAUUAUCUACUGAUUACCUAUAUCAUAUAACUAUUUUGCUAAACGUGGGAAAUCUUCCAAAACUUUAAAGUAUUUUUGUAUAUAUAUGCCGGAGAUGAGGGGACAUUGGCGCCUUUCUUUUGGAAUUUUUGGGAAGAUCCCCAAUACUUUAGCCUAGACUAUUUAUUAUAGUUGUACUUAAAUUAUAAAACUUAGAAACAGUUGUUAUGAUUCAAUCCUAUUAUGUUUUCCCGAGAUUUGUAACGGUGGGCUUGGACUCGAGGUGACACAACUGGUCGCCGAACGUAGCCACGGUCACGGGAUGA
rnacentral:misc_RNA from 1 species